rnacentral:rRNA from 1 species
GCAGUCGAGGGGUAACAGGGAAGCUUGCUUCCGCUGACGACCGGCGCACGGGUGCGUAACGCGUAUAGAACCUACCUUUUACAGAGGGAUAGCCUUUAGAAAUGAAGAUUAAUACCUCAUAGUACUAUAGAUUCGCAUGAAUUUAUAUUUAAAGAUUUAUCGGUAAAAGAUGGCUAUGCGUCCUAUUAGCUAGGUGGUAAGGUAACGGCUUACCAUGGCAACGAUAGGUAGGGGUCCUGAGAGGGAGAUCCCCCACACUGGUACUGAGACACGGACCAGACUCCUACGGGAGGCAGCAGUGAGGAAUAUUGGGCAAUGGAGGCAACUCUGACCCAGCCAUGCCGCGUGCAGGAAGACGGCCCUAUGGGUUGUAAACUGCUUUUAUACAGGAAGAAACCCUCGUACGAGUACGAGCUUGACGGUACUGUAAGAAUAAGGACCGGCUAACUCCGUGCCAGCAGCCGCGGUAAUACGGAGGGUCCGAGCGUUAUCCGGAAUCAUUGGGUUUAAAGGGUCCGCAGGCGGUCGAUUAAGUCAGAGGUGAAAUCCCAUAGCUCAACUAUGGAACUGCCUUUGAUACUGGUUGACUUGAGUCAUAUGGAAGUA